rfam:Gossypium arboreum cultivar AKA8401 contig_80207_1, whole genome shotgun sequence.
AUCCUAUAGUGAGAGCACUUUUGUAAAAAUUACUUGAAUCAUUCCUAAGCCUCAUAUAAGGAUUCAUCAUUGAACUGUUGGAAUGUGGUGAUCUUAUUCCUAAGCUU